rnacentral:rRNA from 1 species
AGAGUUUGAUUCUGGCUCAGGAUGAACGCUAGCUACAGGCUUAACACAUGCAAGUCGAGGGGCAGCAUUGGAGUAGCAAUACUCAGAUGGCGACCGGCGCACGGGUGAGUAACACGUAUCCAACCUGCCGCUUACUCGGGGAUAGCCUUUCGAAAGAAAGAUUAAUACCCGAUGGUAUAAAGAGUUCGCAUGUUCUCUUUAUUAAAGAAUUUCGGUAAGCGAUGGGGAUGCGUUCCAUUAGAUAGUUGGCGGGGUAACGGCCCACCAAGUCUACGAUGGAUAGGGGUUCUGAGAGGAAGGUCCCCCACAUUGGAACUGAGACACGGUCCAAACUCCUACGGGAGGCAGCAGUGAGGAAUAUUGGUCAAUGGACGAGAGUCUGAACCAGCCAAGUAGCGUGAAGGAUGACUGCCCUAUGGGUUGUAAACUUCUUUUAUAAGGGAAUAAAGUGAGGGACGUGUCCCUUUUUGUAUGUACCUUAUGAAUAAGGAUCGGCUAACUCCGUGCCAGCAGCAGC